UACAGAGGUGGCAAGCGUUGUUCGGAAUUACUGGGCGUAAAGGGCGCGCAGGCGGCUACGCACGUCCGUUGUGAAAUCGCUCGGCUCAACUGGGCGGGGUCAGCGGAUACGGCGUAGCUGGAGCAAGCUAGGGGGCAAUGGAAUUCCCGGUGUAGUGGUGGAAUGCGUAGAUAUCGGGAGGAACACCAGUGGCGAAGGCGGUUGCCUGGAGCUUUGCUGACGCUGAGGCGCGAAAGCGUGGGGGAGCGAUCCGG
rnacentral:rRNA from 1 species